rnacentral:rRNA from 1 species
UACGUAGGGUGCGAGCGUUGUCCGGAUUUAUUGGGCGUAAAGAGCUCGUAGGCGGUUUGUCGCGUCGGCCGUGAAAUCUCCACGCUUAACGUGGAGCGUGCGGUCGAUACGGGCAGACUUGAGUUCGGUAGGGGAGACUGGAAUUCCUGGUGUAGCGGUGAAAUGCGCAGAUAUCAGGAAGAACACCUAUGGCGAAAGCAGCUCUCUGGGACGGUACUGACGCUGAGACGCGAAAGCGUGGGGAGCGAACAGG